GUUGGAUAACUGAGGUAAUUCUUGAGCUAAUACACGCUUUUUAUACCACAUUAGUGGUGCGUUUAUUUGAUUAAACCAUUUUUUCGGUUGACUCAAAAUAUCCUUGCUGAUUUUGUUAUUAAAACAUACCGUAUGUGUAUCUGGUUUAUCAACUUUCGAUGGUAGGGUAUUGGCCUACCAUGGUUGUGACGGAUAACGGAGAAUUAGGGUUCGACUCCGGAGAGGGAGCCUGAGAAACGGCUACCACAUCCAAGGAAGGCAGCAGGCGCGAAAAUUACCCAAUUUUAGUUCAAAGAGGUAGUGACGAAAAAUGACAACCAAAUAUUAUUAUUAAUAUUUGGAUUGAAAAUCUUCAAGUUUAAAUAACUUGUUGGUAAAGGAAAGGGCAAGUCUGGUGCCAGCAGCCGCGGUAAUACCAGCUUUCCAAGUGCAUAAAAUGAUUGUUGUGGUUAAAAAGCUCGUAGUUGGAUUAUAAAGAUUGUGUAAUGAGCAUCUUGGAUGUUUUAAUUUCAUUACCAUCUUAUUAUUUUUAUUAUAUUUUUCGGAAUAUAAUAAACUGUUACUUUGAAUAAAUCAGAGGGUUUAAACCAGGCAUUAUAUGCUUGUAUGGUCUAGCAUGGAAUAACACUAUAGAAAAAGUUAGUGUGGUUUCACUAAUCUUUUUCAUGAUUAAUAGGAACAAACGGGGGCAUUCGUAUCGCUACGUUAGAGGUGAAAUUCUUGGACCGUAGCGAGACGUCCUACUGCGAAAGCAUUUGCCAAGAAUGUUUUCAUUAAUCAAGAACGAAAGUUAGAGGUUCGAAGGCGAUCAGAUACCGCCCUAGUUCUAACCGUAAACUAUGCCUACUAGGUGUAUGAAUUAUUAGUUAUAAUAAUUUAUGCACCUUCUCGGAAACGAAAGUCUUUCGGUUCCGGGGGAAGUAUGGUUGCAAAGCUGAAACUUAAAGGAAUUGACGGAAGGGCACCACCAGGAGUGGAGCCUGCGGCUUAAUUUGACUCAACACGGGAAAACUCACCCGGGCCGGACACUAUAAGGAUUGACAGAUUGAUAGCUCUUUCAUGAUUUAGUGGUUGGUGGUGCAUGGCCGUUCUUAGUUCGUGGAUAUGAUUUGUCUGGUUGAUUCCGAUAACGAGCGAGACUUUUAUGUUAUAUUAAAUAAUAUUAUUUUAAAUUUUAUUUAAUAAUAUUUAUUUUAAUAACAGAUUAAUAGUGUUUAACUAUUUGAGAGAGAGCAAUAACAGGUCUGUGA
rnacentral:rRNA from 1 species